rnacentral:rRNA from 1 species
CCCGCUGAACUUAAGCAUAUCAAUAAGCGGAGGAAAAGAAACCAACAGGGAUUGCCCUAGUAACGGCGAGUGAAGCGGCAACAGCUCAAAUUUGAAAUCUGGCGCAAGCCCGAGUUGUAAUUUGUAGAGGAUGCUUCUGGGCAGCGGCCGGUCUAAGUUCCUUGGAACAGGACGUCAUAGAGGGUGAGAAUCCCGUAUGCGACCGGUUGGCACCCGUCACGUAGCUCCUUCGACGAGUCGAGUUGUUUGGGAAUGCAGCUCUAAAUGGGAGGUAAAUGCCUUCUAAAGCUAAAUACCGGCCAGAGACCGAUAGCGCACAAGUAGAGUGAUCGAAAGAUGAAAAGCACUUUGGAAAGAGAGUUAAAAAGCACGUGAAAUUGUUGAAAGGGAAGCGCAUGCAACCAGACUUGUCGGCGGUGUUCCGCCGGUCUUCUGACCGGUCUACUCGCCGCCGACAGGCCAGCAUCAUCUGGGAGCGCCGGAUAAAGGUGUCGGGAAUGUGGCCCCUCGGGGUGUUAUAGCUCGUCACACAAUACGGCGCCUCUCGGGUGAGGUCCGCGCUUCGGCUAGGAUGCUGGCGUAAUGGUCGUAUGCGGCCCGUCUUGAAACACGG